CAGAAUGACAGAAGAUCUGUAUUGGGUUCUGCGUUGGAUAGUUACUGCCUCUUCACCUCACUUGUCUUCACUAUCAACUUCCAUAACCAGUGAAAAAUAAUGAAAUAAUGGCGAUCAACCCUCUUCUGCUCUUGGCAUCUCAGCUUUUCCCAAGCCUUAACUCUCCACCUCAACUGAGCUUGCUUUCUGCCUUUGAAGAUUAUCUGUUGGGCUUCCAUGAUAAAUAGUCAAGAAAAGUGGAGGGAGAGUAAGAAAAAGCUUGUGGGAUGCACCAAGCAAGGAAUUUGGGGAAAAGUGGUGACAGUGUGUGUGAAAAGUUGCAAAAACAAGAUGCAACAGGAAUGGAACAGAGUGAAAAAAGAUACUCUGAAGAUAAGUAGAAGGAUGCUUUCCUGUGGAGAGUGAUUCAACUUGAUGUGCCCAGAGCCUAAAUAACUUCAGAUGUGGACCCCAACU